CCCCAGCAGUAUCACUCUGAUCCCUAGAAUUAGUAUGAAUCAGUUGCUAAGAAAGCAGCCUAAUCUGUUUCCCAGGCCUACUGAGGAUGCAAAGCAUCAAAAGCAAAAGCCACACUCUGGAAAUGAGAACCCUAGCCCACCUUCGUCCUCCGCAUCUCCCCUGGGGCUUCAGGAGACUUGUCACCACAGUUCACACCAGCUUCCUCCUGCCCCAGCUCUCCCACCGCAUCUCCAGUCUCUGAACCUGCAGAGCUGCUGAUGCUGCUGGGGCCUGACGUCGCCCUGCAGCUGGAGGCCGCCCUGGCUGACCCUCAGCUGCCCUGUCCCUGUCUCACUCCAGAGACGGGCCUCGGGGGCAAUCUUGUCUUUAACACGUGGCCUCCUCUGUUCCAGGGGUCACGGAAGACCGCCCAGAGCUCACCACGUCUCACGGAGAUUUUAAUGAAACAGCUCUUCUAUUUAUUUGUGUUGCUGCCUCCAAGGCCUGGGGCCAUGACAUCAGUCCCUGAGAGGGGAGGCCCGGGCUCAGGGGACAUCAGGCUUUCUGUCCAGUUGCUUAGGUUCUGACACUAACCCGGCUUUUCUGCUUCAGUCCUACACUCUUCCCUCUGUUUUUUUCUCGGGCGUGUCUGAAUCCUGGGGUGAAUACCGUUUACCUUGCACCCUGUGGCACUUGUUAAAAGUAAACAGGUUUUCCCUGAGCGUUGGCAGUUCCACCAGAAGGAGAACAAAGGUCAAUGCAGUCAUACGGAAUCUGAUUAACACCAAGCCGCAGAAACACACCCCUGGAUUAGAUGCUUUCCCAGCUGCCCCUGCCCUUUGGACAGAGGAGCCGUUCUAGCUGGUGUGCAGGCAGCAGCUAUGCUUAGCUCGCUGAGUGGGAAUGUGUUAAUCCACAUUUCAAGUUAGGUUUGCCUAUUGUUAUUUUUUAAUUAUAUGUACUUUAAGAGUGAUGUUAUCAUUUGAAUUUUAAAAAAUGUAUAGAAAAAAGUUUUAUUACAUUGGAGUAAAAGAAAAAAGAAAUUUUAAUCAGGUUUACAGAGGUAUAAUUUACAUUCAAUGAAUUCCACCCUCUUUAGUGGAC
ensembl:lncRNA